rnacentral:rRNA from 1 species
CGGCAAACGGGUGCGGAACACGUACACAACCUUCCUUUUAGUGGGGAAUAGCCCAGAGAAAUUUGGAUUAAUACCCCGUAACAUAACCGAGUGGCAUCACUUGGUUAUUAUAGCUUCGGCGCUAAAUGAUGGGUGUGCGUAUGAUUAGAUAGUUGGCGAGGUAACGGCUCACCAAGUCUACGAUCAUUAGCUGAUGUGAGAGCAUGAUCAGCCACACGGGCACUGAGACACGGGCCCGACUCCUACGGGAGGCAGCAGUAAGGAAUAUUGGUCAAUGGACGCAAGUCUGAACCAGCCAUGCCGCGUGAAGGAUUAAGGUCCUCUGGAUUGUAAACUUCUUUUAUCUGGGACGAAAAAAGGUCUUUCUAGACCCCUUGACGGUACCAGAUGAAUAAGCACCGGCUAACUCCGUGCCAGCAGCCGCGGUAAUACGGAGGGUGCAAGCGUUAUCCGGAUUCACUGGGUUUAAAGGGUGCGUAGGCGGGUAGGUAAGUCAGUGGUGAAAUCCUGGAGCUCAACUCCAGAACUGCCAUUGA